CCGAGGGAAGAGGGGCCGGGAAUCUCCCAGGAGCAGCCAAACGACUGAGAUGGAAAAAAGAUGGGAAGAUCCCUGGGCCCUCCGUUCGGUCCAGUAAGAAAAGUAUAAUAGUUUCAGGAAGGGACCGCAGACAAGACAGAGGGAGGGAAAUCAUCGAAGAAAUUCAAGAAAAUCAGCAGAACUUCCUUGUUGGAGUGAGUGGCAGGGGCCCACAGCACUUGGCAAACAGCGGGGUUGCUCCCGAGCGUGUGGGUGGGGACGAUCCUAAUCGCCCACCUGACCAGACAUCCACCCGAACGUGGGCUCUUCUCCGCUAUGGUCUGAAUGUGUGUCCUCCAAAAAUUCGUUGUUGAAGCCCUGACUCCGCCAAUGUGAUGGUGUUAGAAGGGGGGCCUUCCGGAGGUGAUGAGGUGAGGACACAGCGAGAAGACGCGGUCCAUGAACCAGAACGGGGGCCCUCACCAGACACCGACUCUGUUGAUCUUGGAUUCCCAGCCUCCAGAACUGUGAGAACUCAAGCCCCCCGGUCUGUGGCAUCCGUGACAGCAGCCCGGACGGACUUCGGCUCACCCCUGAGAUCCUACCAUUGAAAAAUUGGAACACAAAACCAUGUGCACUAGGAUUUCCCGCUGUGUACUCAGACGAGCUCUGAAGGAUGGGACAGCCUGAAGGAGGGAGGCACCUGUCUUCUGAAGAGACGGGCUCCUGGGAUCACCGCCGCUUUGGUCUCCCAUGGCCACGUGUGCGGUCAGGAGGGAGCGGCCCUGCGUGUGAAGUGCUGGGGCCGCCUGGCACGGCGGGCCCUAGAGCCGGGAGGCCACAGGAGGUGAGUGCCUCCCUGCUCCUGGGGCAUACGGGGGAGUCCUGCUGUUCCGGACCUCAGCUGCCCUUGGAUC